UGGGGAAUAUUGCACAAUGGGCGCAAGCCUGAUGCAGCAACGCCGCGUGAGGGAUGACGGCCUUCGGGUUGUAAACCUCUUUUAGCAGGGAAGAAGCGAAAGUGACGGUACCUGCAGAAAAAGCACCGGCUAACUACGUGCCAGCAGCCGCGGUAAUACGUAGGGUGCAAGCGUUGUCCGGAAUUAUUGGGCGUAAAGAGCUCGUAGGCGGCCUGUCGCGUCUGCUGUGAAAUCCCGAGGCUCAACCUCGGGCCUGCAGUGGGUACGGGCAGACUAGAGUGCGGUAGGGGAGAAUGGAACUCCUGGUGUAGCGGUGGAAUGCGCAGAUAUCAGGAAGAACACCGAUGGCGAAGGCAGUUCUCUGGGCCGUAACUGACGCUGAGGAGCGAAAGCGUGGGGAGCGAACAGGAUUAGAUACCCUGGUAGUCCACGCCGUAAACGUUGGGCGCUAGAUGUGGGGACCAUUCCACGGUUUCCGUGUCGCAGCUAACGCAUUAAGCGCCCCGCCUGGGGAGUACGGCCGCAAGGC
rnacentral:rRNA from 1 species